rnacentral:tRNA from 1 species
UGGGAUGUAGCUCAGUAUUAGAGCUCUUGACUAGCAGGCUUGAGACCCUAGGUUCAAUCCCCAGCAUUGCAA